AAAUGUAUUUUUAUAUCCCGCUCCAGUAGGUGGCAGUGUGUGCAGAUGUAGGCUGUAGAAUGUUUGCGGAAGUGCCACAUUGUUUCCACGAGUUAAGCAAGCAUAGCCAGAUAUUUUUAAGCAAAUUAUAUCUGGUCUAGCAGGAGAAUCUUAUUUGGUUGAAUAAAACGGUUAAUUCUGUCUAUCCAUGUUAACUAGACACCUGGUUGUUGAACACGUUGUGAUAUGUUAAAUGGAUGUAAUUUAGCGGAAAGGAGUAUGCAUCUAGAUAUCUAAGGCGUUCGGCUCUGUAUACUAGCUACGGUUACAUUCCAUUGCAUUGGGGUAUCCUUUUUAGCUAGAUCUGACCAGGGGGAAAUAAAUAUGCCAGAUUUAGAGUUUUGUUCAAGUAGUGUCUGGUAACCAGUGGUGAGCCUUCAGGUCUCGCUGAUAGCCUCAAAGCUUGGCACACUGUCACUGAACCACAGUGUCUACAUGCAAUCAGCGAUGCCUGGAUGAAACAGGCAGACACACAGGACCUCGGCCCACAAAGACAGUGGGCGGGAGGAGAGGUUUGAAGAAGAUGUGUGAUUGAAGGGAGGAGGAGACAGGAUGGUUAUGUACCAUAUAGUCAGGAAACAGCUGACUGAGUCUAAAGCUCCAGAGAGGAGGCUGAGCUGGGACACCAUGUAGUAGAUCAGGUAUCUGAAGCAGGAGCUACCAGAGGAAUGGACUGUUGACCAUCUGGCCGAGGGCUUCUCCUUGCAUCGUGACAUCUUCCUCAGAGUCCUCCGGAGCAAGUUCACCCCCACCCCAGAGAGGAAAGCGAAACAGGACUCCAGCGUGUGGGCCAGGCUGAGACAGCAGGCCAUACCUGGAGGUGGGACAGGGUUGGCAACGGGCCCUACCUGGGGAUGGAGGAACAGAGGGACAGGGUAGGCAGCAGGUCUUACCCGGGGGUGGAGGAACAGGGGGACAGGGUAGGCAGCAGGUCCUACCUGGGGAUGGAGAAACAGGGGGACUGGGUAGGCAGCAGGUCUUACCCGGGGGUGGAGGAACAGGGGGACUGGGUAGGCAGCAGGCCCUACCUGGGGGUGGAGAAACAGGGUAGGAAGCAGGCCCUACCUGGGGGUGGAGGAACAGGGGGACUGGGUAGGCAGCAGGUCCUACCUGGGGGUGGAGAAACAGGGUAGGCAGCAGGUCCUUCCUGGGGGUGGAGGGACAGGGUAGACAACGGGCCCUACCUGGGGAUGGAGGAACAGGGUAGGCAACAGGUCCAACCUGGGGGUGGAGGUGGGACAGGGUAGGCAGCAGCUGCCUGGCUCUGGACACAGCAGCAGUAGCACACCAGCCAUGCCACCCAAAGGAAGUGGCACCGGUGCCUUGGUCCUCCUAACCAGCCAGAGACUGAUACCCAAGGAGGGGAGGAUUGCCCUAGACCCAUGACUAUUGGAAACAGCCCUGCUCCUCUGGCCUCACUACCCACCCUGCACAGCAGACGCACCUGAGGACAAAAAUAACUCUAGGGAGGAGGAAGAUGAGAAAGAUCCAGAGGACAAUGUGUCGGAGAAGGUUGAGGAGAAGGACAAGCAGAUGGAGAGAUGGGAACGAUGUUAUCAGAGGAAGAACCGGAGGAACUAAUGCGGUCUACAAAGCCCUGGCCUGUGCUACAGAAUGGAAAAUAGUUAUUUUCUUCUGAGGGAAACUUCCUGUACAGAAUCUGAAGUUGAGAUGUUUAUAUUUAUGAAGAUUUCUCUGUAAUGCAGUAAUAUGCAACCUUUAUUUAAAGAUGACAGACUGAUAAUGUCACAUUAUUUACCAUUCAUCUGUUAAGGUUUGAUUUUACAUUCUUGUAUCAAGUUGUUUUUCUGAACAUUAACAAAAUAAAAUCUACUCUUAUGCAAUAUAUAUAUGAGCAGAAAACUUAUCAAAGGAACAAGUUGAUUUAUUAGCCAAUAACCCAAAGCAAAAUCACCUCAAAUAUAUUGAACUACACAGCAGAUACAAAGAUGUAACGAUUCCAGAACUUUCUCACAUUGCAUUAUAACUUUAUACAGCUAUUUUAAAAUGUAAUAAAGAUGUCACCUUUCAAAUCUCAAUACAUAAAACCUUCAGAACAAGUGUCUUCCUCGUGUUUUAGCAGCUACAGUAUGUGUUGGCUUGGUUCUGCCAAUUGAGAUUUCGCUAAUUCUUUCAAUCCUGUGCAAAUGUGGGUACAGUAAUGUACAAACCAAACACCAAAUAUAGGUUGGAUGAAACAUUCCAUUUGUCUGUUUCACAAUGGACAAAUAAAGCUGUAUUGCAUGAUCAGGGAGUAAAAUUAAAUUGGGUUAUGUUGUUCCCAUUGCAUUAUGGGUAGAGGAGAAGUCUGAGGACUAUUCUACAAAACAACAGGGUAGUUGGUAUUGCAGGUCAACAUGUAAUGUCUUAUUGGUUUGAAUUCAAGAAAUGGAAUCAUUAAAAUGGCUCUUACAUAGUUAGCCGAUCUAGGGGUGUGUCCCCCCCCCAGGACAGACCCUCCUAGACAGACCCUACCCCUCUACUAGACAGACCCUACUAGGCAGACCCCUCCCCCUCCUAGACAGACCCCACAGGACAGACCCUACUAGACAGACCCCUCUAUUAGAGAGACCCUACUAGACAGCCCUUACUAGACAGACCCUCCUCCUUCCUAGACAGACCCUCCCCCCUCCUAGACAGACCCCCCUCCCUUCUAGAAAGACUACUAGACAGACCCUACCCCCACUACUAGACAGAACCUCCUAGACAGACCCUCAUAGACAGAUCCUACCUCCCCUUCUAGAAAGACUCUAUUGGACAGACCCUACCCCCUCUACUAGACAGACCCUACUAGACAGACCCCCCCCCCCACCCCCCACUGGACAGACCCUACCCCCUCUACUAGACAGACCCCCCCCCCCCACACACACACACACACACUGGACAGACCCUACCCCCUCUACUAGACACUUUUGUGUAUGUGACCAAUAAAAUGUGAUUUGAUUUGUAUAACCAUCCACACAAUAAGUUACAUUACUGCACUCCGAAUCAAUCAGAUCAUUCUAAAUAAAUACCAGUUCACCAUGUAAAGGGGCGUGGAAGACAAGAGAAGAGAGAGGAAGAGGAAAGGAUGGCGCAACAAAUGUUUUAAAACGGCAAACUAUUGAGAGAGAGAGAUCAUGUGACUCCACAGUAUUUAAAGUAGCCUAGUUCAAAUGGGAAGCUAUCAUCAGUGCCUUGUUUCUCCAACAUUCAAGCCUACAAGAAGUGUUAAUUUAGCUUCUACUCUGUACAUGUAUUAUUCUAAAAACAAUUGUAUCUGACUAUAGUAUUAGGAACAAAUGGAAACCGCCUGUCAGGUGUAUACUCCCAGUUAGAAGGACCCUAGUCUCCCAAGGCUAUCGUUCCAAAUGGGUUUCUGAGGCUAGAAUGACCCUAGUCUCCCAAGGCCAUCGUUCCAAAUGGGUUUCUGAGGCUAGAAUGACCCUAGUCUCCCAAGGCCAUCGUUCCAAAUGGGUUUCUGAGGCUAGAAUGACCCUAGUCUCCCAAGGCCAUCGUUCCAAAUGGGUUUCCGAGGCUAGAAUGACCCUAGUCUCCCAAGGCCAUCAUUCCAAAUGGGCUUCCGAGGCUAGAAUGACCCUAGUCUCCCAAGGCCAUCAUUCCAAAUGGGCUUCCGAGGCUAGAAUGACCCUAGUCUCCCAAGGCCAUUGUUCCAAAUGGGCUCCCGAGGCUAGAAUGACCCUAGUCUAGGUGAAACUUAAGUCAAUGACAUUUUUCAGGUAAUGUGGUGACCACAAUAAAAUGUGUAAUUCAGUAAUAUUAGCUCAUCAUAUUAAGAUACGAGUGUACAGUACAUACAGACAAGAGGUUUGUUCUACACACUGAAAACAGACACGCCAGUGGCAAAACUGCUAGACAUCCAUACAACGUUGUUAAGUUUAUAAAACAAUUUAUUCUAACAAAAAUGGCUUCGUCAAAGAUGUCCAGAUCUAUGUGACAGUUAUUACAUUUCUAAAAACAAAAUGUGGCCUUAGCGCCUGUGUUUACGUUCGAUUGAUUCCUAUAGUCCUUCCUUCACAUUGGGGUCUACUUUCACUUGUGUAGGAUUAGCUCAACAUAUUAAACAUAAUUUGUGUAGAGAAAUGAGGAGGCAUGAGGUGAAUAGCUUUUUGUAUACUACAUUUCCCCCCCUCUGACUCAAACUAAACAGAGGUUUUUUUCACUGCUUCUGGCAGUCACAACUGCAUACACUGUUUAGAUAGAAUAAGUCUAUUGUUCUAAUAUAGACAAAUCAUAACUUGAGUUAAAAAAAAAAAACGAUGCAUGAUUUAGAAGGUGAAUGUUUGAGUUAGGUACACAAUUCUCAUGUUAGGAUGAAUCCCUUUAGUUUAGAGGAGGAGGUUGAGUCCUGCUAUGAAAGCUUAGCGUGUUGAUACAGUGGAUCUAAACAUGUUAUUGCUAUCCAACUUUAAAUGCUUAUAAAUAUUUCCACUUGCAUCUUAUCAUUUAGGCAAAAUAGUUCAAAAUAGUUAAGAAUAGGGUGGCUUGGUAGAGUAAUUUUACCAAGCCACAGUAACCAACUACAAACUAUUUACCAUAGUCCCAACCCUGAAUCACAUCAAUGAAAAAUGAAAGAUCUUUAUGUAAGUGCAGGGGAGGGGAAAAGGACAUGUCUUCAAUAGAAACGUAUACGUAAUAUUUCCCAAGAUCCCCAGUCCCAAGCAAUGGGAGAGGCAUGUAUAACCCGUAAUGUCAUCAUGGUGCUGUUUACAGUCACUUGUUUUGAAGAGUCUAGCUACAGUAGAUAUUAAGAGAAGCUCCCAAAGACCAUAA